ACAACUUCAACGAGAAUUUCAGAGGCUGCAAGAGCACGUUCUUGCUUAGAAGGAUUGCAAGGAGCUGCAGCUGGGUGCAUAACAGGUCCUCUUUGUCCAAGGAGUUCGUGUUGUUUUCUGGAGCUACAUCGUCCUUUACCUUGGCAACUUCUUCGUCGUCUACUACAAGUUUGAAAUAAGGUUCCAGUGGAGAAAUCUUUGUACAGCUGCUGGGGUUUAUGGGAAACGAUGAAAGUGAUUACGUAAUAUAUUAUGGAAUCUCAAAGUUGGUUUUAAUGUGAAUUUCAUUUGGAAUGUGUUUGCAAAUAUUUAGUUCUUUACUUAACAGUGUGAAAAUGGAACACAUUCAUUCUCCAAAUCAAAAAAUUAUGCCAGUACUUGCUUAUUUUGCUACAGAAUUUAAUUAAAAACACAUGUAAUUUA